AAUGGCUCAUUAAAUCAGUUAUCGUUUAUUUGAUAGUACCUUACUACUUGGAUAACCGUGGUAAUUCUAGAGCUAAUACAUCGCUAAAAACCCCGACUUCGGGAGGGGUGUAUUUAUUAGAUAAAAAACCAAUGCCCUCCGGGGCUCUUUGGUGAUUCAUGAUAACUUAACGGAUCGCAUGGCCUUGCGCCGGCGACGGUUCAUUCAAAUUUCUGCCCUAUCAACUUUCGAUGGUAAGGUAUUGGCUUACCAUGGUUUCAACGGGUAACGGGGAAUUAGGGUUCGAUUCCGGAGAGGGAGCCUGAGAAACGGCUACCACAUCCAAGGAAGGCAGCAGGCGCGCAAAUUACCCAAUCCCGACACGGGGAGGUAGUGACAAUAAAUACUGAUACAGGGCUCUUUUGGGUCUUGUAAUCGGAAUGAGUACAAUUUAAACCCCUUAACGAGGAACAAUUGGAGGGCAAGUCUGGUGAACAUCUAGCUGGCGCCAGAAAUAGUGGGCCCUGACGGCCGGGGAUCUCCCGGCGUCGAACCGCUAGUCGAACACCCACACACUGAUGGGGGGGGUGUCGGCGAGGUAACCUGGUUCGGGGGAGCCUGUAGCAAUGGCAAUCCCGAGGCGAGCCACGGUGGUGGCCGCUGUAACGCGCGCAAAGGUACCGGCCUUCGGGCUCAAGGGACGUGCUAACCCCCCGCGAAAGCGGGUUUCCGACCUAAGCACCCAUCAUGCGAAGGUUCUGGCGGCUGACGAACAGAUCUUUAUUCAGACGACAAGAUGGCUCAUGCCCUGGUGAACCCGAACCCCCCGCCGAAAUUGUGGCCAGCAGCCGCGGUAAUUCCAGCUCCAAUAGCGUAUAUUAAAGUUGUUGCAGUUAAAAAGCUCGUAGUUGAACCUUGGGCCUGGCUGGCCGGUCCGCCUCACCGCGUGUACUGGUCCGGCCGGGCCUUUCCUUCUGGAGAACCGCAUGCCCUUCACUGGGCGUGCUGGGGAACCAGGACUUUUACUUUGAAAAAAUUAGAGUGUUCAAAGCAGGCCUUUGCUCGAAUACGUUAGCAUGGAAUAAUGGAAUAGGACGUGCGGUCCUAUUUUGUUGGUUUCUAGGACCGCCGUAAUGAUUAAUAGGGAUAGUCGGGGGCAUCAGUAUUCAAUUGUCAGAGGUGAAAUUCUUGGAUUUAUUGAAGACUAACUACUGCGAAAGCAUUUGCCAAGGAUGUUUUCAUUAAUCAGUGAACGAAAGUUAGGGGAUCGAAGACGAUCAGAUACCGUCGUAGUCUUAACCGUAAACUAUGCCGACUAGGGAUCGGGCGAUGUUUCUAUCUUGACUCGCUCGGCACCUUACGAGAAAU
rnacentral:rRNA from 1 species